GACGAACGCUGGCGGCGUGCUUAACACAUGCAAGUCGAGCGGUAAGGCCCUUUCGGGGGUACACGAGCGGCGGACGGGUGAGUAACACGUGGGUGACCUGCCCUCAGCUCUGGGAUAAGCCUGGGAAACUGGGUCUAACACCGGAUAUGACUCCAUGACGCAUGUUGUGGGGUGGAAAGCCUUGUGCGGCUAGGGAUGGGCCCGCGGCCUAUCAGCUUGUUGGUGGGGUGAUGGCCACCAAGGCGACGACGGGUAGCCGGCCUGAGAGGGCGACCGGCCACACUGGGACUGAGACACGGCCCAGACUCCUACGGGAGGCAGCAGUAGGGAAUCUUCCACAAUGGACGAAAGUCUGAUGGAGCAACGCCGCGUGAGUGAAGAAGGUUUUCGGAUCGUAAAACUCUGUUGUAAGGGAAGAACACGUACGAGAGUAACUGCUCGUACCUUGACGGUACCUUAUUAGAAAGCCACGGCUAACUACGUGCCAGCCGCCGCGGUAAU
rnacentral:rRNA from 1 species